UACGUAGGGUGCGAGCGUUGUCCGGAAUUACUGGGCGUAAAGGGCUCGUAGGCGGUUUGUCGCGUCGUCUGUGAAAACCAGCAGCUCAACUGUUGGCUUGCAGGCGAUACGGGCAGACUUGAGUACUGCAGGGGAGACUGGAAUUCCUGGUGUAGCGGUGAAAUGCGCAGAUAUCAGGAGGAACACCGGUGGCGAAGGCGGGUCUCUGGGCAGUAACUGACGCUGAUGAGCGAAAGCGCGGGUAGCGAACAGG
rnacentral:rRNA from 1 species